UCUCAGCGUAUCGGCAACCAAAACCAUUGGCAAGACUCCAAAACUUGAGCUUUGAAUUCAACUUUCUAUUGUUUAUCUCUCUUCAUUUCUAUAUGAACGGUUAGAGAGAGAGAGAGAGAAAGAGAGACGCGUUGCGGAGUUCAGUGUAGGACUUUCUCUGACCUCGGAGUUUUAGAGAGAGAAAGAAAUGGCCGGAAAUGAUUGGAUAAACAGUUAUCUAGAGGCGAUUCUGGACGUAGGGCCAGGUCUUGACGAUGUGAAGUCGUCGCUGCUUCUGAGAGAGAGAGAGAGAGAGAGGCCAUUUCAGUCUUACUCGUUACUUCGUCGAGGAGGUCGUCACCAGAUUCGAUGAGACCGAUCUCCAUCGCUCCUGGGUUAAGGCAGCGGCGACGAGGAGUCCUCAGGAGAGGAACACCAGAUUGGAGAAUAUGUGCUGGAGGAUUUGGAAUUUGGCUCGCCAGAAGAAGCAGUAUCCUUGCGGCAUUCAUGGUCUAAUAAGGGGUGAAAAUAUGGAGCUUCGUCGUGACUCUGAUACUGGUGGCCAGGUAAUAUCUUGUUGUUAUGUUUUUCCCACAUGAUAUCUUUAUGGUCGAGACUCAGAGUUGCUGUGCUUCUCAGCGGCGGCGUCAACAGCAGCGUCGCUGUGCGCCUCCUCCACGCCGCCGGCCACUCCUGCAUCGCCUUUUACCUCAAGAUUUGGUUCCAAGUAAGGAGAGUUAUUGAUGAGUGCGUAAUUUAUGCACUCAUUCGUUACUCCUUUAGCUAGUUUCGGCGUGUUUUCCUUAAGUUGUUAUGUGAAUUUGAUGAUUCUCCCUUGAGUGUGCAAGAAUGGGUGAAAUCGCUGAGUUUUGAGGCAUUUUGGGCGCCUACAGAUGGCGACACGGCGCGAAAAGGAUCAAAAUUGAGCAAACCUGUACGAAGGACCAGCAAGUGAUGCGAUAUGUCGCCUCCUUUGUGGAGAUAUGUUGCUGCCUUUAGGCGAUAUGUCGCCUAUUCUAAGGGAUAUGUCGCCUGAGUUACCCGAUUUUAUUAGAAACACGCGUUUUGCCCUAGUCUAGUGCGCAGAUUUUUAUGGAAGUCAGAAUUGGCUUCUUGGGGACGUGAUGGACGUGGAAUAUAAGGUAGAGGGGCCGAAAACUGAAGGGAGGAGGAGAAAAACGAAAACAAAAAUUGCAAAGGAAGAAAAUCUGAAUCGGAGAGGAUUCCAGAGGGAAAUUAGAGGGAUUCUUCAAUAAUUCUAAGCGCUCUUCGUUCUCUUCUUUUCUUUCUUUUUGUAUUUUUUUAGAUUUCAAAUAUUAUUUGGAGAUUGUGAGUCACAUGAUGUGUGGCUAAUUUUCUUAAUUGUUAGGGUUUAGACGAAUCUCUAUUUGUGAUUAUUGUUUCGACGUUUUAAUAUGCAUUUAAUUAAAGUUCUUCGUUUCUUUCGUGUUCUAAUUUGAAUUGUUGCUGUCAAAUCUAUGAUUUAUAUAUUGCUAUGCUUUGUGAGAUUGUGAAUUGUGCAAAUUUAGAUUGUGAGGAUUAAUACUCGAGAGGGGAACGUUCAAGCAAUCAAGAAACGGGUAGAACAACUUAGGUUGGUGUGAGGUCGAGAGAUAAACAUUGCCUAGGUAGCCGAAACAAUUUUAGGUUGUGAAAUUGAGAAGUGGAAUUCCAGGAAUUGUUUCUAGAGUGGAACUUAAUGAAGGUAGGGGUGAAUAGUUGUAGAGAGAUAUAGGCUUGAUAUUACCUGCACAUUCUUUAUGCAGCACUCGAGAGAUGGUAUAAGGAUACACAUCACUCUAGGUUCUUGAGAACAUUGAGUUAGGUUAGGCACAUUACUGCAGAGAAACAUAAUCGUAAUAGAGUGAAGUUGAAACCCUAACAUUGCCAUCAUAUUGAUUUCCUAUUUUAAUUUCAGCGCAUGUUAUUCAUUACUGCUAUCUUUUCUUUUAUUUUAGUUUUCUUUUAUUUUAGUUUUUCUUUGAGUUUAUCACAUUCAAAUUUAAUCGCUUAGAUAAAAUUAAGAUAUGA